rnacentral:rRNA from 1 species
CCUACGGGUGGCAGCAGUGAGGAAUAUUGGUCAAUGGCCGGAAGGCUGAACCAGCCAAGCCGCGUGAAGGACGAAGGUGCCAAGCAUUGUAAACUUCUUUUGUCCAGGGACAAAAUCAGGCUCGAGAGCCUGACCGAGGGUACUUGAAGAAACAGCAUCGGCUAACUCCGUGCCAGCAGCCGCGGUAAUACGGAGUAUGCGAGCGUUAUCCGGCUUUAUUGGGUUAAAAGGCUUCGUAGGAGGGCUGUUAAGUCAGCGGUAAAAGCCCGGGGCUCAAACCCGGCGAGCCGUUGAAACUGGCUGUCGUGAGAUGUCGAGAGGUAUGCGGAAUGCGCAGUGUAGCGGUGGAAUGCGUAGAUAUUAGGAGGAACACCAGAGGCGAAGGCGAUUAACUGGACCGUAACUGACGCUGAGGCACGAAAGUGUGGGUAGCAAACAGGAUUAGAUACCCCUGUAGUC